ensembl:lncRNA
UGGAGGUUAAUACUUUAAAUAGUCACGAGUUUGGUGUUUUUUCCCCUUUCUCACCUGCACCCGAGCCUGUCCUCAAUGCCAAAUGGAAGAAGUGAGAGGAACAGUGGUGAUGGUCAGCUGUUUUGUAAUUCCACUGCAUUUGGAUGGGCCUAUGCUCAGUUUGCUUGGGGUUGUAUUUCACUCAUCGAGGUGGAUGCAAAUUCAGACAAACAUAACUCCAGCUGUGUUUUUGGAAGAAUUUUGCCAUUCAUUUCUUUAUACUGGAAACCAAAUUCCUGCUAUUAAGCAGUGGUAAUGAGAGAGAGGGGGAAAAAUAAGCUGGUCCAUUGUGGAACUGUCUGUGGUUUUUUUUUUUGAAGGGAAUUCUUAUUCUUCUACUGUUUUGUAUCUGAUAGUGUUGUAAGGAAUUGUGGUCCAGUGUGCUUAUUUAUCAAUAAAAGGUUUGGUUUUUUUUACUAUUUAUUUCUUACUUGCUUUAAAGAGGUACAAAGCUGCCUUGUGUGAUCUCUUAUUGUCCCCCUAAUACUCCUGUUCCUUUAAUGUGUGUCUGUGAAUAUCUGUGAAUGUUCCCUAAGAUGAUAUCUGUUCUGGAAAUAGGUAUUUUGGUGCAAAUAAAAUAUUGGGUUACAAACAUUUCAGUCAUUAAUCCUCCAGUGUCCCACAUCAACAUGUGGAAUACAUUCUGGUUUCUUUUGGCUUUAGUGAUCCUUUUUUUUUUUGCUUCCUCAUAGGAUCACACAGUAUGUUAGGGACCUGUGCAGGGUAUGUGGCACAACCCUAUACUGAAAAGACUGACUGGCUUCAAAGUCAGGUCUUGUUUUGAAGCUGAAUCAACUCGGUCAAGUCAUAUAAAAGUGUCCUUUUUCAUCCCUUCCAGCACAAAAUUGAUUUCAUGCCUUUCAGUCUCUUGGGGUAUUUAUUAAACCAUUAUUUAUUCAUUUAGCUACUUUAUUAUUUAAUUUUAUACUCAAAUGUAACUUUGGUCUCUAGAAGGGAAAGUAGGAAACAUUUCUACACUUUUUUUUUCCCUCAAAGUACUGAUGUUCUUGCCUCUUUUAAGGUACAACACCACUGUGCACCUCGGAACAGCAGCA